CAAUAGCGUAUAUUAAUGUUGUUGCAGUUAAAAAGCUCGUAGUCGGAUUUCAAUGCGGGUUGACCGGUCUGCCGAUUGGUAUGCACUGGCCGAGCCGUAUUUCCUCCCGGAGACCUCGUCUACUCUUAACUGAGGCGGACGGGGGAAACGGGAUUUUUACUUUGAGGAAAUCAGAGUGUUCAAAGCAGGCUUUUGUAUGUAUGUGUUAGCAUGGGAUAAUAAAAUAGGACUUGGGUGCUAUUUUGUUGGUUUCGAACACCUAAGUAAUGAUUAAUAGGGAUAGUCAGGGGCACUCGUAUUCCACCGAGAGAGGUGAAAUUCUUAGACCAGUGGAAGACGAACUUCUGCGAAAGCAUUUGCCAGGGAUGUUUUCACUGAUCAAGAACGAAAGUUAGGGGAUCGAAGACGAUUAGAUACCAU
rnacentral:rRNA from 1 species